ACAACUACAAAAAAAGCCAGAAAAAACCAAUCCAAAGCUCUAAUGAGGGAUUUGUGGAUGGUCUGCAUGAAUUUGACAGAGAAGGCAAAGAAUGGGG